CUGCCGCGACCUCGACGCUACUCCCGCGACCACAACCACUGCGUCCGCUAGAAAGGCGCAUGAAUUGGGGAUAUGUACUUCGGUUUGGGUUUAAAGGGGCAAUCUUUGAGCAUUUGUAUCAACUAUUGAGGAUCUCAAGUUGACAUGGAUCGCCCUAUGAUCAAGUGCAUUAUGGUGCUAUGAUGAUUGUGACAGAAGAUGUUAGCUGCAGAAGCAAUCGCUAUGUCUCAGCUCCAAUAUUAAAAAUCAGUGCACCUGAAUUAGGACACAAUUUUUCUCAUCUGGAACUGCGCUUUAAGGUGUUUGGUCUGAAUGCUACGCUCCUGAAUACAAUGUGAUAUAAAAGGUUCAUGAAAUCACCAGGUAUGGAAAUGCUUGACCAUUUUUGUAAAUUACUUAGUACAAUAUUAUCUGUUUGUUUUCUGCAUUAUUUCCCAGUUCUCUUGCAGUACUAUUCAACAACCUAUCUUCCUGCCUACUAGAUAAAAGAGGGUUUUUGUUUACUUAACAUGGUUGCCUGAUUAACAUAGUCAUGGUUUCUGUUAAUUAUUUUUUCCACUACCGAAGCAACAAUUAUCUUCCUACCUACCAGAUAUACUACUACUUGAUUGCUUAGUUACCGGCUUAAGAAGCUCCACGAUUCUUUUAUAUGAUAUUAAAAAAAAUUGAGUUCUAACUUUGUGGAAAGACACGCUAGGUUCUGAUGUUUUGGGGCCAAUGUUCAUUUCUAGAGGCAAAUACUCAGAUUUCUUAGUGAACUAUAAUCCCAUCUAGAUAACCCCCCUCGAUAUAGCUCCCUUUAUUUGCACGACACAAUCUAGCAUAUGACGGUUCUGAUUUGGAUUGUGAGUGUUUCUCCAAAAACUAGGAUUAUAUACCUGAGAACAAACAAAUAACGUUAUAAACUUACCUCGAAGCCUAUGGGUUGACUGAAGCUUGAUAAAUAGUUUCAGAUGCACUAUGGUCUCGUAACAGUAGAAAUAAGCUUUGAGGGAAAGAGAACCAAGUAUAGGUGACUGCAUAGUAGAAGAUGUGUAAUCGUGUUGCACUAUAGUGUCUUUAUAGAAGCCGACAAAAUCAGAGACAUCCUAAAUUUUGUUUUUUGUUCUUGUCAGUUAAGAAAAGAAACAUUAACUCUUGGAUUAUCAGUAAGGGAAUAUGCCUUAUUAGCACACUCUUAUGGUGGUUAUUAUGAGCCUUCACAAAGGCAAUGUACUUAGAGUCAUCGCAGUGAUGAUCGACAUAUAGAAGGAGAGUUUGACCACGAGUUGAAAGGUGGACAAGAAGUGUAGGAUCAUGAGAACUCGCCGAAAACUUGCCGCAAUCACCACUGAGACAAAAUGCUCAAACUAGGCACGAGGGGUUUGCUUAAGGCCAUAAAAGAGCGAUGAAGAUGACAAACCAUGCCAUCAGGAGGAGAAUACCCAGGUGGUGGGUAUAUGUAGACCUCAUGCAACAAGGAGGAAGAGAAAUGGUAUCCCACAUGCCUAUGCGCGCUAGAGCAACAAUCUCGUCUACAAUCGCAUGCUGCUAUUCAUGGUGAACAAAUGCGUCAUACUAAGAAGUCGUCUCGAGAAAAGCGACACUAGAAUAACCAAUAACCAUAGGGCCAAUAGGCAGAAGCGAGAGAGCUCAGAAGCCAUAAGUAGGCCGAGCUUUAGGUGGCGCGUUGCCAACGGGAAAGACCAUAGUAGUCGAGGGAGAUGGCUCAUUAGAAGGAUCCACAACACGUGGACCACAAGUGUAGUGAAGAAGAUGAUAAGGGGGAAUCAUCGGGGAAACCUCAUGGAUGAGCGAGGUGAGGUAGCCUCAGGUAAUGAACGAGGCGGGGAAGCCGCAUGUGGCGGUGGGUGGGGUCUAUAACAGUAGUCGAGGGAGAUGGCUCAUUAGAAGGAUCCACAACACGUGGACCACAAGUGUAGUGAAGAAGAUGAUAAGGGGGCAUCAUCGGGGAAACCUCAUGGAUGAGCGAGGUGAGGUAGCCUCAGGUAAUGAACGAGGUGGGGAAGCCGCAUGUGGCGAUGUGUGGGGUCUAUAACAGUAGUACGGGAGGAUAAGCUGGGAUAGGUGGGCGAGGGCAAUAAAUGAGUGAUAAGUGUAUCAGGAAAAUUGAGGGAAGAAAUAUCGUCAAUGGGGGAGGCCGAAGGAGAGGAUGGACUCGGGUAGAAAGGACGAGACUCAAUCAGAAGUGACAUAUCAAGAAAUACCCAUCCGACGACUAACAAGAUCCCAACACCGAUAGCCCUUGUGCUUAUCGCUGUAAUUUAAGAAGACAUAUUCAACAGAUUGAUCAAAUAGUUUGGUGCGUGAAGAAUGUAGCAAACACAACCAAACAAAUGAAGUGUUGAGUAGUUAGGAGAGAAUGCUCACAAAGACACUCGAGAGGAAUGUUGCCCUGUAGAGCCGAGGAAGGAUGAAUGUUGAUGAGAUAGGUGGCUACGGUCAUCAACGCGCUAGCCGCCUCACGAAGGUGACGAUGCUUGCGCUCAACAACCCCAUUCUAAGCAUGAGCACCAGGACAAGAGAGCAAGUGUGCUUUGCUCAACAAGGAAUCUACGCAACAAAUGAGAGAGAUACACAUAAGCAGAAUCUGCACGAAAGACAUGGAUAGUAGUGGAAAACUGGGUAUGAACCAAGGUGGCAAACCUUUUAUAGAUAGAUAAGACCUCACUACAAGAAGGCAUAAAAUAUAUCGACUUGUGUCGAGAGAAAUAAUGGUAAAGGUAAUAUAGUGGCGAUGGCCUCCUUUCGAGGCGAAGAGAGUUGGGUCCCAAACAUUAGAGUGAACAAGAUUGAAUGAGGAUACGGUAACUGAACGUGUUUACCUAGCAGACAAACUUGACAUUUAAAGUUACAUUGCGAGACAGAUCCUAGAAUACCACAUCGUUCUAAGGAUGAGAGACUAGAGCCACACAUGUGACUGAGAUGACGACGCCACAGAGUCAGUAGACAAGGUAAGAGAGUCGAAGAGAUUGGCGGAUGUGGUAGCAGAGGGAAGGCGUAGCCUGGCAAGAUUCAGUGGCCGUGCGAGUCACAACGUCGAGGGUCAACACCAAGUAGAUCACCCGUGUGCAAAUCCUAAAUUAGAAUAAGAGCCAAAGUCAAGAAUAUUGGAGUAAUAGAAAUAUUGUUUGUGUUAGGUUCAAUGAUACAUUUGCUUGGAACCCCGGACGGAGUUAAACUUGAGAUUGGGCACUUGGAUUUGUGAUAUUUUGAUAUGAGCUUGAAACUGGAGAAUUUUAGGGUGUAGCAUGAUGAACCUGAGAUAUAUUGAAUUUAUAUAGGUAUAGUAUGAUUAGCAUGAAUGCAGUAUUUGUGGACUAUUGGAUCAUCUUGGAUAUUACUAGUUGGAUUCUAGGUUAAAGAUAACUUGAGCAGUUGGAUUUGUGAUAUUUUGACCUAAGUUUGGUAGCUUGUAUGGCUAUGAGCAUGCAGAUGAUACGAUCGUAGUUGGUAGACCGUGAUGAUUUUGCUAACCCUCCCCAAGAAUGUUACAAGUACAAGAUCAUCAUGGGAGGAUGAUUUGGAUUAAUUAGAAUAGAUGACAAUUUCAGUGGUAUGAGCCUUGUUGGAGCAGCUGAUGUUGCUUUUAUUAUGUUUUUGUGCUCCUUUAGAUGCAGAAGUAGGAGGGUAGGACUUAUGAAGUGAUACUAUAUUGGUGGAUAAAUAGAUCUUUAAUAACAUUGAAACUGGAGAACUUUAGGGUAGGACUUAUGAAGUUUGGAUUUACUUACAUGAUAGUGAUCUUAGAAAAAAAUCUGGUGGAUAAAUAACUUUUAAUAUUUUGGAUCUAUAGUCAUCUAGUGGAAAGCUUGCUUCAUACUGGACUUAGAUAACCAUGAUAAUGGGCUUCGUUGAAUCAUAGUUAUGAUUUAUACUAGAUGCACACUUUUAGAGAUUUAAACUAGAAAACUUUAGGGUGUAGUAUAAUCAAUUAGAGAUAUAUUGGAUUUAAUAUGAAUAUAAUAUGAUCAACAUGAUUCUGAGAAUUGAUGGAAGAAAGCAAAGAUAUUGGAGUAAUAGAAAUGUUGUUUGUGUUAGGUUCAAUGAUAUAUCUGCUUGGAUUCUAGUUCUAGGUCGGAGUUAAACUUGAGAUUGGGCACUUGGAUUUGUGAUAUUUUGACACGAGCUUUAGAACUGGAGAACUUUAGAACUGGAGAACUUUAGGGUGUAGCUUGAUCAUCCUGAGAUGUAUUGAAUUUAUAUAGGUAUAGUAUGAUUAGCAUGAAUGCAGUAUUGGUGGACUAUUGUAUGAUCUUGGAUAUUACUAGUUGGAUUCUAGGUUGGAGAUAACAUGAGCAUCUGGAUUUGUGAUAUUUUGACCUAAGCUUAGUAGCUUGUAUGCGCCCCAUAUGGAUAUGAGCAUGGAGAGGAUACAAACGGAUUGUAGUUUGUAGACUUUGAUGAUUUGAUAGCCCUCCCCAAGAAUGUUACAAGUACAAGAUCAUCAUGGGAGGAUGAUUUGGAUUAAUUAGAAUAGAUGAUAAUUUUAGUCGUAUGAGCCUUGUUGGAGCAGCUGACCUUGCUUUUAUUAUGUGUUUGUGCUCCUUUAGAUGCAGUAGGGAAGGAGGCUAGUAGUUAUGAUGUGAUAUUAUAUUGAUGGAUAAAUACAUCUUUUAACAAUGUUGGAACAGUUUGGAUUUACUUAGAUGAUUGUGAUCUUGAAAACAAAUCUGGUGGGUAAAUAACUUCUAGUAUUUGGAUCUAUAGUAAUCCAGUGGAGGCUGAGGUAGUUGGAGAGGGCCGAUGAGAAAGCACAUGAGAAGCUUUACUCGAUCUCCUGAAGACCGACAUUGGCGCAAAGGCCGAUGCGGCUGACAGGGUUUUCACCCUCUCGCACACCUCCCGUGCAUUGUUCAUUUCCUGCCAAUUCGGCUUGGUAUCCUUUCCUUGUUUGCGGGUUCUGGGCCACUGGCUUGAUCUGGCAUCACACGUUUUCCUGCCGUGUGUCCUUGGCCUUGGCGGUAGGUAACGUCGUGCGCUCGGGCUGUGUCUCGUGGGUUAGCCAUUGCGGUGCCAACUGCCUGUGUGGCUAUGGCGGCGCCCAGUAAGGAAACAUGAGAUGUGGGAUUGAGGCAUCGCACAUAGCAACCCGAAGCCAGGCAAAGGAUGCCGGUCGGACUGGCAGGAAGUGGAUUGCACAUGAGGUAUGGUGGAAGGGAUGAAAACGUUGGUGGGAGCGGAUUGUCAUUGUCGUUAUUCAUUGUACUUGGAGCCAAGCAUUGAGGGGAUGGUGAUUGGGGAUGUGGGAAGAUGGUUGGAUCAUAGUUAUGAUUACUACCUUUAGAGAUUGAAACUGGAGAACAUUAGGGUGUAGUAUGAUCAAUCGGAGAUAUAUUGGACUUAUAUGAGUGUAAUAUGAUCAGCAUAAUUGUGAAAAUUGAUUAACUAUUACAUCAUCUUGGAUUGAUAUAGUAGGAAGAAAACAAAGAUAUUGGAGUAAUAGAAAUGUUGUUUGUGUUGGGCUCAAUGAUAUUUCUGCAUGGAUUUUAGGUUGGAGUUAAACUUGAAAAUGGACACUUGGAUUGUGAUAUUUUGACAUGAGCUUGAAACUGGAGAACUUUAGGGUGUAGCAUCAUCAACCUGAGAUGUAUUGGAUUUAUAUAGGUAUAGUAAUCAUCAGCAUGAAUGUGGUAUUGGUGGACUAUUGGAUAGACUUGGAUAUUACUAGUUGGAUUCUAGGUUGGAUUUGUGAUAUUUUGACCUAAGCUUAGUAACUUGUAUGUGCCCCAUAUGGAUAUGAGCAUGGAGAUGAUACAAAUGGAUCGUAGUUGGUAGACUCUAAUGAUUUUGCUAGCCCUCCCAAAUAAUGUUACGAGUACAAGAUCUUGGGAGGAUGAUUUGGAUUAGUUAGAAUAAAUGACAAUUUCAGUGGUAUGAGCCUUGUUGGCGCAACUGAUCUUACUUUUAUUAUGUGUUUGUGCUCCUUUAGAUGCAGUAUGAGGAGGGUAGUACUUAUGAAAUGAUAUUAUAUUGGUGGAUAAAAGCCCGAUGCGGCUGACAGGGUUUUCACCCUCUCCCACACCUCAUGUGCAUUGUUCAUUCCCGCUGAUUCGGCUGGGUGUCCUUCCCUUGUUUGCGAGUUCCGUGUCAAUGACUUGAUCCGGCAUCACACGUUCUCCCGCCGUGCGUCCUUAGCCUUGGCGGUAGGUAACGUCGUGCUCUCGGGCUGUGUCUCGUGGGUUAGCCAUUGCGGUGCCGACUGCCUGUGUUGCUAUGGCGGCGCCCAGCAGGGAAACACGAGAUAUGGGAUUGAGGCAUCGCACAUAGUAACCCAAAGCGAGGCAAAGGAUGUCGGUCGAACUGGCAGGGAGUGGAUUGCACCUGAGGUAUGGUGGAAGGGCUGAAAAUGUUGGUGGGAGCGAACUGUCAUUGCCGUUAUUCAUUAUACUUGGAGCCAAGCGUCGAGGGGAUGAUGAUUGGGGAAGGUGGGAAGAUGGUUGGAUCAUAGUUAUGAUUACUACUAGAUUCACACCGUUUGAGAUUGAAACUGGAGAACUUUAGUGUGUAGUAUGAUCAAUCGGAGAUAUAUUGGAUUUAUAUGUGUAAUAUGAUCUGCAUGAUUGUGAAAAUUGAUGGACUACUACAUUAUCUUGGAUUGAACUAGUAGGAAGAAAACAAAGAUAUUGGAGUAAUAGCAAUGUUGUUUGUGUUAGAUUCAAAUGUUUAAUGAUAUAUGUGCUUGGAUUCUAGGUCGGAAUUAAAUUUGAGAUAAGGCACUUGGAUUUGUGAUAUUUUGAAAGCUUGAAACUGGAGAACUUUAGGGUGUAGCAUGGUCAACCUGAGAUGUAUUGGAUUUAUAUAGGUAUAGUAUGAUUAGCAUGAAUGCGGUAUUGGUGGACUAUUGGAUGAUCUUGGAUAUUACUAGUUGGAUUCUAGGUUGGAGAUGACUUGAGCACUUGGAUUUGUGAUAUUUUGGCCUAAGCUUAGUAGCUUGUAUGUGCUCCAUAUGGAUAUGAGCAUGGAGAUGAAACAAUUGGAUCGUAGUUGGUAGACUUUGAUGAUUUCGCUAGCCCUCCCCAAGAAUGUUACAAGUACAAGAUUAUCAUGGGACGAUGAUUUGGAUUAAUUAGAAUAGAUGACAAUUUCAGUGGUAUGAGCCUUGUUGGAGCACCUGAUCUUGCUUUUCUUAUGUGUUUGUGCUCCUUUAGAUGCAGUAGUGGGAGGAGAGUAGUACUUAUGAAGUGAUAUUAUAUUGGUGGAUAAAUAGAUCUUUAAUAACCUUGGAACAAUUUGGAUUUACUUAGUUGAUUGUGAUCUUGAAAAAAAAUCAGAUGGAUAAGUAAAUUCUAAUUUUUCAAUCUAUAGUGAUCUAGUGAAAGCUUGCUUUAUACUGGAUCAUAACCAUGAUAGUGGGCUUGUUUGGAUCGUAGUUAUGAUUUGUACUAGAUGCACACCUUUAGAGAUUGAAACUGGAGAACUUUAGGGUCUAGAAUGAUCAAUCAAACAUAUAUUGGAUUUAUAUGUGUAAAUAUGAUCGGUAGGAUUGUGAAAAUUGAUGGACUAUUACAUCAUGUUGGAUUGAAUUAGUAGGUAGAAAACAAAGAUAUUGGUGUAAUAGAAAUGUUUGUGCAAGGUUCAGUGAUAUAUUUGCUUGGAUUCUAGGUCGGAGUUAAACUUGAGAUUGGGCACUUGGAUGAUGUUUUCACAUGAGCUUGAAGCUAGAGAAGUUUAGGGUGUAGCAUGAUCAACUUGAGAUGUAUUGAAUUUAUAUAGGUAUGGUAUGAUUAGCAUGAAUGCGCUAUUGGUGGACUAUUGGAUCAUCUUUGAUAUUACUAGUUGGAUUCUAGGUUAGAGAUAACUUUUGAUUCUAGGUAAUAGUUAUGACGUGAUACUAUAUUAGUGGAUAAAUACAUCUUUGAUAACUUUGGAACAACUUGGAUUAACUUAGAUGAUUGUGAUCUUCAAAAAAAAUCUGGUGGAUAAAUAACUUAUAAUAUUUGGAUCUAUAGUAAUGAGGGCAGGCCUGGCGCAGUGGUGAAGUCCUCCCCACUUGUGCCAAGAGGUCCUGGGUUCGAACCAGCCUCUCUGCAUUGCACUUUGCAGGGGUAAGACUAGGUUCCUAUAAUCCCUCCCCAGACCCCACCUUGUGUGGGAGCUUCUAUGCACUGGGUCUGUCCUUUCCUUUUAUUUGGAUCUAUAGUAAUCUUGUGGAGGCUGAGGGAGUUGCAGAGGAGCGAUGAGAAAGCACAUGAGAAGCUUUACUCGAUCUCCUGAAGAUCGACAUUGCCGCCGUGCAAAUCCCUAUGGGGCUGACAGGGUUUUCACCCUCUCCCACACCUCAUGUGCACAUUCCUGCCGAUUCGGCUUGGUGUCCUUCCCUUGUUUGCGAGUUCUGUGCCAAUGACUUGAUCUGGCAUCACACGUUCUCCCGCCGUGCGUCCUUGGCCUUGGCGGUAGGUAACGUCGUGCUCUCGGGCUGUGUCUCGUGGGUUAGCCAUUGCGGUGCCGACUGCCUGUGUGGCUAUGGCGGCGCCCAGCAGGGAAACACGAGAUGUGGGAUUGAGGCACCGGACAUAGUAACCCGAAGCCAGGAAAGGAUGCCGGUCGGGCUGGCAGGGAGCGGAUUGCACAUGAGGUAUGGCGGAAGGGAUGAAAACAUUGUUGGGAGCGGAUUGUCCUUGGAGCCAAGCGUCGAGGGGAUGGCGAUUGGGUAAGGCGGGAAGAUGGUUGGAUCAUAGUUAUAUUACUACUAGAUGAUUGGAUAGCCUAUAUGUGUCCCAUAUGGACAUAGCAUGAAGUUGAUACAAACGGAUUGUAGUUGGUUGACUUGAUGAUUUUGCUAGCCCUAUCCAAGAAUAUUACGAGUACAAGAUCAUGGGAGGAUGAUUUGGAUUAAUCAGAAUAGAUGACAAUUUCAGUGGUAUGAGCCUCGUUGGAGAAGCUGACCUUGCUUCUAUUAUGUGUUUGUGCUCCUUUAGAUACUGUAGUAGGAGGGUAUCACUUAUGAAGUGAUUUUAUAUUGGUGAAUAAAUAGAUUUUUAGUAACCUUGGAACAAUUUGGAUUUACUUGUGAUUGUGACACAGCGGUGGAUAAAUGACUUCUAAUUUUUGGAUCUAUAGUAAUCCAAUGGAAACUUGUUUUGACUUAGAUAACAAUGAUAGUGGGCUUGGUUGGAUCAUCGAACAUAUAAAGGAUGAGCGGGGUGCUAGGCACAACCGCUGUGUCCACGUAGGCUAUGAAUAGUGCCGGCGAAGUGAGCGUUGCGUCCCGCGCGAGUAGAGAAGCGAGAGACCUAACCCGUCUCCCCCGCAACCCCUGCCUCCUCUCCCGCCGCCGCCGCCGCCGCACCCCCUUCUCCCCUUCUCCAUGCUCGCCGCUGCCGGCACCGCGUCCGCCGCUCCCCCGCCUCGAGCCAAACACCGCCAUGGAGCCUCCGCUCCCUUGCCUCGAGCCACCCCGUGCCUCGUUUGCCUCCUCUCCCCCCUCUCCCUCGUCUCCUCUCCCGCCCCGCCAGCCCCUUCUCUCCUUCCCCGCGCAAGCCAGCCCUGGAUCUGGAGGAAGAGGAGAGAUGCGGGUUCUGGAGGAGGAAGAGGAGAUCUGGGCCUCGCGGCGGUGGCUCGACCGAUGCAAGGUGAUGACAAGUUGCCUCCUCUUGCACGCCCUCUCCCUCGCCGCCGCCACGGCCUCUCCCACCGCUCAUCUCCACCUCCUCCCACUUUCCCUGUUGCUCACAUCCCUCUCAGUCCAUGGCUUCCGGCGCAUCCCCUCGCGGCGGCCACCACUCCUUGUCUCCUCCCAGGUUCUCGAUCUGGAGGGCGGGCCGCCAAGAAAGCCGGCUCCGUCUUGCUCUCGCACCACUGUCCAUCCACCCGAGAAGCCCGUCCACACACCUGUCAUUCACGCCCCUCCUCCUCGGCUCGUUCUCAUCUCUGUCAGGCAGAUGAGCUCCUGCUUCCUCUCUGUCUCCCUUUGAUUUUGUGCUUGUGCUGUACUGUGUGUUUGUGCAGUUGCUUUGUGAGCUACAGCUACUACUUGUGCUGCUAGAUGUGUGUGCUGGUUCUGGUGCUGCUAGCUGCUGCUGGUUGCUUGUGUUGCUGGUAUGUGUUACACUGCUACUACCUGUUGCUGGUUGCUUCUUUAUUUGGUUAAUUGUGACACUGAAAAGCCUUUUGUGAAAAGCAAAAAUUAUUGAGAAGGCUAUGAGCUGAUGAGAUGACCUUCAUUUUCAAUUUCUUAUUUAAUAAUUGAUGAAGGAUAUGUCAUAUAUUCAGUUGCUAACAUUUUCUCUGUGGUGUAUGUACCUAUUGUUCAUUGCAUUCGAGGGAGAGGAAAACAAGAGUAAGAGAGCCUUGGGACACGACGGCAGUAGCACGCAGCGCCAGGUCAAGCGCACCGACCUCGACGACAAGAGACCAACCAGUACACUUAACAAGAGUAAGAGAGCCUUGGGACAACACUGGAUGAGGGCAGGAUUUUAUUUCCCCAUCGUGUCUGAUGAUGUGUUCAUGAGCUAAUUUGUUCUUAUAGUGGUUCCAAUUUUAUUUCUAUCUCGCAGGAUUUUGUUGCAACGACACAGUGCUGACAAUUUUUCUUUUUGGAAUUUGUCAAUGAAAUUCUGCUCGAUCAUGUAACCUUUUGUUUGGAUUGUCGGCCGCCUUGUCUAUAUUUGUAGAUACUGAUUUUGUUGUUUGCUUAAUGGCUCAUUAUUUCACAGGAUGUUGGGGCUCGGGCAAGGGAGGCUGCGCUCAGUGCAGUACUGCGGUCUUUUACUGCCCUUCACUGUUAAUUAAAUAUAUAUUAUCUUCAUAGCUCAUACAGUUUUAGGCUUUUAGCAGUAUGAAAAGUCACAGAUAAUGUGAUGGCGACAUUUGGGCUUAUACAAGUGUUAGUUGUCAGUCUCUGCCCGCAUGCAUUUGAACUUGCCUUGGCCACGAUCCUUAAGCUUGUCAAAAGUUGUGGAUCGAUAGGCAUUGACAAAAAAAUAUAAGCUCUAUGUUCUGAAAUACAGGUAGAGCAGCUGCUAUAGCACCCCUAGGGAGAUUGCAUUGAUUGAUUCUCAUCGUAUAUAUAACUCAACUAUUUAAAGUAUUCUAUAUACACUGAAAUCGUGCUCAUAAUUUUUUAAAGUAUUCUAUAUGCACUGAAAUCGAGCUCAUAAUUUUUUUUAUCAUGUACCUUUUCUGCUAAAGAUCAUUACACUUCUCUUCAAUACAUCAAUGUUACUUCCAAAGCAGAGUCCCUCCUAGAGGACAGUUUCUUUUAUCAGAAGGGUGAGUGUGUUGUAUAUUUUUCUGUCCACUAAAUCAACUACUUCUGGUUACAUAUUGUGACAGAAUUAAGUAGGCAUAUGCUUAUUCGUUGAUUCUUAUACCGAAACUGAAUUGGUAUUGUGUUAAUACAUUAUAGUCAUCCUUGAAGGACAUGUGUUUUAUUGCCAUGCAUGCUUAAUGAUUGCUUGCUGAAGCAUUGGUCCUAAUUUACCACGGGUUUGGCGUUGCGUUUUCUUUUUGUAUAUGGUUGCUGCAGUGGCCAUUGAAUAAUGAUUCUAUCCAUUAGUAGUAUCUUGUCAUUAUGAAAGUUUGUGUAUUUUUUGUACAUAUGAAGGUUUGUGUAUUUUGUUCUCAGCUGCGUUGCUACAUAUAAAUUUGAGGCAAAUGAUGAUACGGUUCAGACUCACACUUUUCUGAUUUUAUCUUGUCAUUAUGAAGGUUUGUGUAUUUGUUUUUGUUCUGCAUAUAAAUUUGAGAAUGAUUUUAUGGUUCAAAGAGACAGUUUAAUCAUAUUUGAGCUGCCAGCUUGCUUCAGCCAUGUGAUAUCGGAGCCCGAGGUUGACAGUGGCCAAAUGACUGAACUUGUUCGCAACAUUAAUAGUAGUACUCUUGAUAAACAUAGCAUUCCUGACCUUUUUGUACCGUUCGCCUGUUUGCAUGUUUAUAACAGGGGAAUUAGUCCAAGUGUUAUUGGUUCACUUGCUACAGGUGGAAUAUAUCUUUGGUGUUAUUGAAUCUUUAACCAAGACAUGGCUGGAGGCUGGAGCACGCUAAUCCUGAUCGAAUAGGUCAUCUCACUUUAUAGGUGGAGUAAUUGAGAUGAUGUUCAGUAGACUCCCUCAUCAUCUUGCCAGUGCUAUUGAUCGCUCACAGCUUGAAUCUGAAUGUGCUUCUUCCAGUGUAUGCUCCCUCUCUUUGGUUCAUUAGCCUCCCAAGACUACUUUGGUAUGAAAGUAAAGCCUUCACUUACUGCCAGUGUAAUUUUGGCUAUUUUUUUAAUUUCAUUAGACAUAUACGUUUCUGGAGUGAUCUUCAUAACAUACGCAGUCAAAUUUGUUUUUCUCAUAAGUUGGAUCAUCGCAUAACUUAUUGGUGGUUGCACUAGCUGAGCUUUAUUAUAAGUUCUGGUGCACAUUGUAUAUCAUGGAUAAAGUGUAUGUAAUCUUCUUGGUGAGUAGGUUUUAGAAUGAUAUAAAAUUUAAA